UACGUAGGGUGCAAGCGUUAAUCGGAAUUACUGGGCGUAAAGCGUGCGCAGGCGGUUGUGCAAGACCGAUGUGAAAUCCCCGGGCUUAACCUGGGAAUGGCAUUGGUGACUGCACGGCUAGAGUGUGUCAGAGGGGGUAGAAUUCCACGUGUGAGCAGUGAAAUGCGUAGAGAUGUGGAGGAAUACCGAUGGCGAAGGCAGCCCCCUGGGAUAACACUGACGCUCAUGCACGAAGCGUGGGAGCAAACAGG
rnacentral:rRNA from 1 species